rnacentral:tRNA from 1 species
GCGCGCGUAGCUCAGCUGGUUAGAGCGCACGCUUCACACGCGUGAGGUCCCUGGUUCGAAUCCAGGCGCGCGCA